rnacentral:rRNA from 1 species
AGAGUUUGAUCCUGGCUCAGAUUGAACGCUGGCGGCAUGCCUUACACAUGCAAGUCGAACGGCAGCACGGGAACAAUCCUGGUGGCGAGUGGCGAACGGGUGANUAAUAUAUCGGAACGUGCCCAGUCGUGGGGGAUAACGUAGAGAAAUUUACGCUAAUACCGCAUACGAUCUAAGGAUGAAAGCGGGGGACCUUCGGGCCUCGCGCGAUUGGAGCGGCUGAUAUCAGAUUAGGUUGUUGGUGAGGUAAAAGCUCACCAAGCCGACGAUCUGUAGCUGGUUUGAGAGAACGACCAGCCACACUGGGACUGAGACACGGCCCAGACUCCUACGGGAGGCAGCAGUGGGGAAUUUUGGACAAUGGGCGAAAGCCUGAUCCAGCAAUGCCGCGUGCAGNAANAAGGCCUUCGGGUUGUAAACUGCUUUUGUACGGAACGAAAAGGUCUGCCCUAAUACGGCGG